ACGAACGCUGGCGGCAGGCCUAACACAUGCAAGUCGAACGCCGUAGCAAUACGGAGUGGCAGACGGGUGAGUAACACGUGGGAACAUACCCUUCGGUUCGGAAUAACUCAGGGAAACUUGAGCUAAUACCGGAUACGUCCGCGAGGAGAAAGAUUCAUCGCCGGAGGAUUGGCCCGCGUCUGAUUAGCUUGUUGGUGAGGUAAUGGCUCACCAAGGCGACGAUCAGUAGCNGGUCUGAGAGGAUGAUCAGCCACAUUGGACUGAGACACGGCCCAAACUCCUACGGGAGGCAGCAGUGGGGAAUAUUGGACAAUGGCGCAAGCCUGAUCCAGCCAUGCCGCGUGAGUGAUGAA
rnacentral:rRNA from 1 species